GGGUCAGUAGGUUGGUCGUGCCACCGGUACGUACUGGUCUCACUGAUUCCUCCUUCCCGAAGAACCGUAAUGCCAUUAAUUUGGUGUUGCGGGAAACAGGACUGUUACUUUGAAAAAAUUAGAGUGUUUAAAGCAAGCUAACGCUUGAAUACAUUAGCAUGGAAUAAUGAAAUAGGACGAUCGAUCCUAUUUUGUUGGUUUCUAGGAUUGACGUA
rnacentral:rRNA from 1 species